GUGUUUGCUUCAGCUGCACGUAUACUAAAAUUGGAAUAAUACCGAGAAGAUGAGCAUGGCCCCAAGCAAGGAUGACAUGUAAAUUUGUGGAGCCUUCCAUAUUUUU